AUUGAACGCUGGCGGCAGGCCUAACACAUGCAAGUCGAGCGGAGCGGCGGACGGGUGAGUAAUGCCUAGGAAUCUGCCUGGUAGUGGGGGAUAACGUCCGGAAACGGGCGCUAAUACCGCAUACUAUCAGAUGAGCCUAGGUCGGAUUAGCUAGUUGGUGGGGUAAAGGCCUACCAAGGCGACGAUCCGUAACUGGUCUGAGAGGAUGAUCAGUCACACUGGAAAUGGGACACGGUACAGACUCCUACGGGGGGCAGCAGGGGGGAAUCUUUGGAAAUGGAGGAAAGUCGGGAGGAGCAAAGGCGCGGGAUGGAUGACGGGUUUCGGGUGGGAAAGUAUGUUAAGCGGGAAGACGGUACCGAAAUAGAAAGCAACGGCUAACUACGUGCCAGCAGCCGCGGUAAUUC
rnacentral:rRNA from 1 species